AUAUUACUCGCUCCAUCCGGAAUUACUUGUCGCAGAAAUGGAUGUAUCUAGAUGUAUUUUUUGUUUUAGAUACAUUCAUUUCUAUCCAUUUAUACGACAAGUAAUUCGGGAGGGAAGGAGUACUAC
rnacentral:pre_miRNA from 1 species